rnacentral:rRNA from 1 species
AGUCGAACGGAAACGAUGGAAGCUUGCUUCCAGGCGUCGAGUGGCGGACGGGUGAGUAAUGCUUGGGAAUCUGCCUAAUAGUGGGGGAAAACUCGGGGAAACUCGGGCUAAUACCGCAUAAUCUCUUCGGAGGAAAGGGGGCCUCUACAUGUAAGCCCUCGCUAAUAGAUGAGCCCAAGUCAGAUUAGCUUGUUGGUGAGGUAAUGGCUCACCAAGGCAACGAUCUGUAGCUGGUCUGAGAGGACGAUCAGCCACACUGGGACUGAGACACGGCCCAGACUCCUACGGGAGGCAGCAGUGGGGAAUAUUGCACAAUGGGGGAAACCCUGAUGCAGCAAUGCCGCGUGUGUGAAGAAGGCUUUAGGGUUGUAAAGCACUUUCAAUAGAGAAGAAAAGCUUAGGGUUAAUACCCCUAAGUAUUGACGUAACCUAUAGAAGAAGCACCGGCUAAAUCCGUGCCAGCAGCCGCGGUAAUACGGAUGGUGCGAGCGUUAAUCGGAAUUACUGGGCGUAAAGAGCACGUAGGCUGUUUUAUAAGUCGGAUGUGAAAUCCCCGGGCUUAACCUGGGAACUGCAUCCGAAACUAUUUAACUAGAGUAUGGGAGAGGUAAGUAGAAUUUCCGGUGUAGCGGUGAAAUGCGUAGAUAUCGGAAGGAAUACCAGUGGCGAAGGCGGCUUACUGGACCAAUACUGACGCUGAGGUGCGAAAGCGUGGGGAGCGAACAGGAUUAGAUACCCUGGUAGUCCACGCCGUAAACGAUGAGAACUAGACGUUGGGAGGGCUAGCCUUUCAGUGUCGCAGCUAAUGCAUUAAGUUCUCCGCCUGGGGAGUACGACCGCAAGGUUGAACUCAAAGGAAUUGACGGGGACCCGCACAAGCGGUGAGCAUGUGGUUUAAUUCGAUGAUACGCGAAGAACCUUACCUGCUUUUGACAUACUUGGACCUUUCAGAGAUGAGAGGGUGCUUUUGAACAAGAUACAGUGCUGCAUGACUGUCGUCAGCUCGUGUCGUGAGAUGUGGGUAGUCCCGCACGAGCGCACCCCUAUCAUACUGCAGCACGUAUGGUGGACUUUAUGAAACUGCGUGACAACGAGAGUGGGGACGACGUCAGUCAUCAUGCCUUAUGGCAGGCUACACGUGCUACAUGCUAUCAAUGGGCUGCCACCCGCGAGGGGGAGCCCAUCAAUAAAAUUAGUUCUAGUCGAUCGAGCUGUCAAUUCGCACUUCUGUGGAAUGUGGAAUCCCCUCAUGUAAUGGCCGUA